rnacentral:rRNA from 1 species
AACGAACGCUGGCGGCAGGCCUAACACAUGCAAGUCGAACGGACCCUUCGGGGUUAGUGGCGCACGGGUGCGGAACACGUGGGAACAUACCCUUUGGUAAGGAAUAAUAUUUGGAAACGAAUACUAAUACCUUAUAAUAUCUUCGGAUCAAAGAUUUAUCGCCAAAGGAUUGGCCCGCGUCUGAUUAGCUUGUUGGUGAGGUAAUGGCUCACCAAGGCUACGAUCAGUAGGGGGUCUGAGAGGAUGAUCCCCCACACUGGGACUGAGACACGGCCCAGACUCCUACGGGAGGCAGCAGUGAGGAAUAUUGCACAAUGGAGGAAACUCUGAUGCAGCCAUGCCGCGUGAGUGAAGAAGGCCUUAGGGUUGUAAAGCUCUUUCAAUGGUGAAGAUAAUGACGGUAGCCAUAGAAGAAGCCCCGGCUAAAUUCGUGCCAGCAGCCGCGGU